AGCCUUGUAGGUAUCCCAGAAGAUGACAGCCACAGUGUCUGACUCUGGUCAGGACCUUGGUGCCGUUGACUCGGAGUAAUGUCCUGACCGCAGGAACCACCUCACGAUGGCGCGACU